CUCAACGAUCGUCUUGUAUGUGUAUAGCUAAAUUAACAAAAGGCUGCUAACAUACACAUACCAUUAAAAUCUAAAUGAAAUUGACUUAAAUGAAUUGGAUUUACUUUUGAUAAUUGCAGUUACUGAUACCUUACGUGAAACUUCUAUUGGCGCGCUUCGGGUGUAAGACCAACUUGUAAGCCGUGCCGGAAAACGACAUGACGCUCUCUAAUGUCGUCAUGCCUCCUCUCUGCUACCACUUUGGUGAUCGUGUCUAGAAGUCCAGUCCUUGCCGCCGCGGUUCUCUUAAUGAUGUUAUAAAAAACUUCUGGAGUCUAGUCACAAUCGACGUUACUGUUUUAAAUGAACUCUCUGGAAUCAGUCAUGAUAAUAUCAGAUGACUGUUACCAAGUAACAGUGAUGGGCCCUAUUAUGGGACGCCACAGCAUAUUGGGAUAUGAGACGGGGUCUCAUAUCAUGGAAACAAUAUUAAGGACCAGAGUCUGAAGUGAAUAAACGGCUCUCCGAUUACUCAGUUUCAUCAGGCAAUGCACGCAGUAACUCCGCGGCAUCGGACAUUCCUGUAACUUUGCCAAACUCCGCCCCGACGGUAUAUCACGGUCCGUAUUUAAAUAUAUUUUUCAGGGAAUCAUAAAUCGCGAAUGAGUACCAACUUCGCUCAUUCGUUGUCGCGGCGAAAUUUUGUUUGGUAGUUUGUUUCGAGAUCCCGGAUAAGUUGAGCGUGACAAUGCUGAAUUUUAAAUUGGUUUCCGGAUACGAGGCUUACGAUUACCUAGCGUUUUAAAUGUAAUGUUUUAUUCCUAUUGACGAUAAUUUAUAUAUUGACUAUCUUAAUCUAUUGACUUUAAUCUAAAUGCAGGCUAUGUACCUGCUUAUGUAAUAAGUAUGGUAAUAUGUCGAUAGUAAUGUCAAUAGCACUAAACCUAUA